GAAAGAAAAGAAAUCCAGAUAAACUCAGGAAAAGACCUCACUGAAGUCUGACUUUAGCACUACGAGCUCAGAUAUCAACCAAGUACUUAAUAAUGCGGAGAGGCUGUUGUUUUGACUUUGGUGAUGCGGAAAGAGCAUUUUGGAGGAGAAUGAUAUGAAUUAGGCUUUGAAGACCAGAAUUGUUCAGCUGCCUAGUAAAGGAACAAGAAGAAACAGAUGGUUGGCUUAACCAGGUCUGGAGAUUGACACGACAGUUGUGACCCAAGAUGAGUGA